CCUACGGGUGGCAGCAGUGGGGAAUCUUGCACAAUGGGGGAAACCCUGAUGCAGCGACGCCGCGUGAAGGAAGAAGUAUUUCGGUAUGUAAACUUCUAUCAGCAGGGAAGAAAAUGACGGUAACUGACUAAGAAGCACCGGCUAACUACGUGCCAGCAGCCGCGGUAAUACGUAGGGGGCAAGCGUUAUCCGGAUUGACUGGGUGAAAAGGGAGCGUAGGCGGUGCAGCAAGUCAGAAGUGAAAGCCCGAGGCUCAACCCCGGGACUGCUUUUGAAACUGUUGAACUAGAGUGCAGGAGAGGUGAGUGGAAUUCCUAGUGUAGCGGUGAAAUGCGUAGAUAUUAGGAGGAACACCAGUGGCGAAGGCGGCUUACUGGACUGUAAAUGACGCUGAGGCUCGAAAGCGUGGGGAGCAAACAGGAUUAGAUACCCUGGUAGUC
rnacentral:rRNA from 1 species